rnacentral:rRNA from 1 species
GACGAACGCUGGCGGCGUGCUUAACACAUGCAAGUCGAACGAAGUGGCGAACGGGUGAGUAAUACGUGGCUAACCUGACCUCCUUUUUGGGAUAAGCCUUGGAAACGGGGUCUAAGAUCGAAUAAAGGGUGUGGGGCUCGGGGCGUAUCGGCGUGUUGGUGGGGUGCUGGCCUACCACGGCGGUGACGGGUAGCCGGCCGGUGGGGUUGACCGGCCACAUUGGGACGGAGAUACGGCCACGACGCCUACGGGAGGCAGCAGUGGGGGAUAUUGCACAAUGGGCGAAAGCCUGAUGCAGCUACGUCGCGUGGGGGAUGAGGGCUUUCGGGUUGUAAGCCUCUUAAGCUAUCGAACGGGUAGCUGGAGAAGAAGCGCCGGCUAACUACGUGCCAGCAGCCGCGGUAAUAC